UGCUGGAGACAUGGGAGAAAAAAUCAGCUCAUUACGCCUGCAGCGGGGCGAGAGCCUUCCCCUUCCUCCCCUGCGCGCCCAGGGCUGGAAUCAGGACCUAGUUCAGACCCUGUGACCACGACUGGGCUUCUGUGUGCCCACUCAGCAAUCCCAGGUUUGCACCCAUGGAUUUUGGUGCCUGCCUGGAAGCUGGAGUCAAAGGGAGAGAGAUAGUUUCCAGGUCACUCCACCUGGCCAAGCAGAGCAUGAAGAGGUGUUUGACCGGCCAGUAAUCAGGUCUUAAAUGUUGGACAUGCAGAAAGAAAGGACAUGCACUGGGGCAUGGUGAACCUGGCUAUGAAAAACACCAAACAGUUAUCCACCAGUUGGUUUCUGAGGGAAAAUGAAACCUGUGCUCACAAGCCCACGUGCAACAGCAAAACAGUUUGUCCCAGAGAGGGAAUGGUGCUCUUCAGCCAACUCCUAGUCCUGCAACACUGCAAAACCAAGCAGAAGACCAACCCCAGUGUGUCCAUAUGAUCCUUUUCUCCCUUAAAAUGCAUCAAAUAAAUUAAUUUCUGCUUUAUUUCUUGCAA